UGGGGAAUUUUGGACAAUGGGCGAAAGCCUGAUCCAGCAAUGCCGCGUGUGUGAAGAAGGCCUUCGGGUUGUAAAGCACUUUUGUCCGGAAAGAAAUCCUUGGCUCUAAUACAGUCGGGGGAUGACGGUACCGGAAGAAUAAGCACCGGCUAACUACGUGCCAGCAGCCGCGGUAAUACGUAGGGUGCAAGCGUUAAUCGGAAUUACUGGGCGUAAAGCGUGCGCAGGCGGUUUGCUAAGACCGAUGUGAAAUCCCCGGGCUCAACCUGGGAACUGCAUUGGUGACUGGCAGGCUAGAGUAUGGCAGAGGGGGGUAGAAUUCCACGUGUAGCAGUGAAAUGCGUAGAGAUGUGGAGGAAUACCGAUGGCGAAGGCAGCCCCCUGGGCCAAUACUGACGCUCAUGCACGAAAGCGUGGGGAGCAAACAGGAUUAGAUACCCUGGUAGUCCACGCCCUAAACGAUGUCAACUAGUUGUUGGGGAUUCAUUUCCUUAGUAACGUAGCUAACGCGUGAAGUUGACCGCCUGGGGAGUACGGCCGCAAGAUUAAAACUUAAAUGAAUUGACGGGGU
rnacentral:rRNA from 1 species